rnacentral:rRNA from 1 species
CGUAACAAGGUUUCCGUAGGUGAACCUGCGGAAGGAUCAUUGUCGAACCUAACGAUCGAACGACCCGCGAACAUGUUGUCUUACCACCGCGUGGGGGCGGGGCGGGCGCGAGCCCUGUUCUCCUCCCUCGACGUGCUGCCGGGAGGCCCCCGGGAGCCUUGCCCCGCGCCCGGCGCCUUGUGCACGGGUCGGGGGCGUCUCGUGGAGGCCUUUCGGCAAACAACGAACCCCGGCGCGGAAAGCGCCAAGGAAAACGCAACGAAACAAUGCUCUCCCGUCGCCCCGGAUUCGGGUGCUUCGGCGAGCGGCAGUCGUUUUGAUAUAUCAAACGACUCUCGGCAACGGAUAUCUAGGCUCUCGCAUCGAUGAAGAACGUAGCAAAAUGCGAUACUUGGUGUGAAUUGCAGAAUCCCGUGAAUCAUCGAGUCUUUGAACGCAAGUUGCGCCCGAAGCCACUCGGCCGAGGGCACGCCUGCCUGGGCGUCACGCACUCGUCGCCCCUCCCCCCUCCAUCCCCCUCCCUUUCGGGACGGGAUGCUGCGGGGGUGGGGCGGAUUAUGGCCUCCCGCGGAGCACUGCCUCUGCGGAUGGUUGAAAAUCGGUCCCGCGGCGACGCACGCCACGACUAGCGGUGGUUUGAAACGAACCCCUCCCCCCGAAGCCUCGCUUGUCGAGGGCGAAGGGCGGAGCGGCUCAUAGUCGGGCGCGGCGCUUCGUCCAACGGGGCCCCUAAAGCAAAAGGCCCUAUGAACUCGAUCGCGACCCCAGGUCAGGCGGGAAACCCGCUGAGUUUAAGCAUAUCAAUAA